UGCCAAAACCAUCCCAUUUCCCUUUAGUUCCCUUCCUUUAAUGGAGGGCCGGCGGACAAUGACGAACUGUCCAAGGGAAAACGAGUCCGUGUGAGAAGACUUAAGGAGUCCACACCCUCACCACCACCCUCGAGAAAGCGGAGGCCAAGGCAAAACAUACAUAUCAGAAAAAAGCCACAGAAGAAGCAAAAAAAGCCAAUCUCUUGACUCUACUACAUGAGAGAAAAAUGAAG